AGGUGAGCGCCACUUUGGCCCCGCACACCUGCCUUGUUGCAGCUCCGCUGUCCAGGGUCCUACACCCACCGGGCACCUCAGAGGGCCCGUUUGCCAUCGUCCUUCCUGGCCCCGCCCGAGCCGAGCCUCAGCAGCAGAGCCACUCUGAAAAGGACUCUGGAUUUCGAUCAGCUGCCAAGCCCCGCAUCUCCGAAGCGGAGGAGCAGCUUCUGGAAGCUUCGGCCGACUGCCUGUUACGUUCCUAGAUCCUGAUAUCACUGCUGCACCUACUCGAAUCCAGCGCGCGGGUUUAGCAUUGUUCCAGCUUAGACUGUACCACACCUAGCAACCUUUUGCCUGUUGCUUCUCCCGUGACACCAAUCAAAGUGUUAUCUGACCAUUAAAGAAUUUUAAACCCAGAACCUGAGACUGAGGUACAUAGGGAAGCAGACUACCCGGGCCUGACCUGGGGCACAAACCCCUUCCGCUCCACUCGAGCCCCGGGCUUCCUUGCCAGCGGAGUUGCCUGACACCCGCAAGGGCCCACACAGGAUUCCCCACGGGAUCCUAAGACCUCUGGUGAGUGGAACACAGCGCCGGCCCCAAUCCAAUCGCGCGGAACCUAAGACUGCGGUACAUAGGGAAGCAGACUACACGGGCCUGACCUGGGGCACAAACCCCUUCCGCUCCACUUGAGCCCCGGGCUCGAGUCUAGCUAAGGGUUUAUCUAUCUUGUUGAUUUUCUCAAAGAACCAACUCCUCGUUUGGUUAAUUCUUUGAAUAGUUCUUCUUGUUUCCACUUGGUUGAUUUCACCCGAGUUUGAUUAUUUCCUGCCAUAUACUCCUCUUGGGUGAAUUUGCUUCCUUUUUUUCUAGGGCUUUUAGAUGUGUUGUCAAGCUGCUAGUAUGUGCUCUCUCCCGUUUCUUCUUGGAGGCACUCAGAGUUAUGAGUUUCCCUCUUAGAAAUGCUUUCAUUGUGUCCCAUAGGUUUGGGUACGUUGUGGCUUCAUUUUCAUUAAACUCUAAAAAGUCUUUAAUUUCUUUCUUUCUUCCUUCCUUGACCAAGGUAUCAUUGAGAAGAGUGUUGUUCAGUUUCCAUGUGAAUGUUGGCUUUCCAUUAUUUAUGCUGUUAUUGAAGAUCAGUCUUAGGCCAUGGUGGUCUGAUAGGAUACAUGGGACAAUUUCAAUAUUUUUGUAUCUGUUGAGGCCUGUUUUGUGACCAAUUAUAUGGUCAAUUUUGGAGAAGGUCCUGUGAGGUGCUGAGAAGAAGGUAUAUCCUUUUGUUUUAGGAUAAAAUGUUCUGUAGAUAUCUGUCAGGUCCAUUUGUUUCAUAACUUCUGUUAGUUUCACUGUGUCCCUGUUUAGUUUCUGUUUCCACGAUCUGUCCAUUGAUGAAAGUGGUGUGUUGAAGUCUCCCACUAUUAUUGUGUGAGGUGCAACGUGUGCUUUGAGCUUUACUAAAGUGUCUUUAAUGAAUGUGGCUGCCCUUGCAUUUGGAGCAUAGAUAUUCAAAAUUGUGAGUUCCUCUUGGAGGAUUUUACCUUUGAUGAGUAUGAAGUGUCCCUCCUUGUCUUUUUUGAUAACUUUGGGUUGGAAGUCGAUUUUAUCCGAUAUUAAAAUGGCUACUCCAGCUUGUUUCUUCAGACCAUUUGCUUGGAAAAUUGUUUUCCAGCCUUUCACUCUGAGGUAGUGUCUGUCUUUUUCCCUGCGAUGGGUUUCCUGUAAGCAGCAGAAUGUUGGGUCCUGUUUGUGUAGCCAGUCUGUUAGUCUAUGUCUUUUUAUUGGGGAAUUGAGACCAUUGAUAUUAAGAGAUAUUAAGGAAAAGUAAUUGUUGCUUCCUGUUAUUUUUGUUGUUAAAGUUGGCAUUCUGUUCUUGUGGCUGUGUUCUUUUAGUUUUGUUGAGGGAUUACCUUCUUGUUUUUUCUAGGGCGUGGUUCCCGUCCUUGUAUUGGUUUUUUUUCUGUUAUUAUCCUUUGAAGGGCUGGAUUCGUGGAGAGAUAAUGGGUGAAUUUAGUUUUGUCGUGGAAUACUUUGGUUUCUCCAUCUAUGGUAAUUGAGAAUUUGGCUGGGUAUAGUAGUCUGGGCUGGAAUUUGUGUUCUCUUAGUGUCUGUAUAACAUCUGUCCAGGCUCUUCUGGCUUUCAUAGUCUCUGGUGAAAAAAUCUGGUGUAAUUCUGAUAGGCUUGCCUUUAUAUGUUACUUGACCUUUUUCCCUUACUGCUUUUAGUAUUCUAUCUUUAUUUAGUGCAUUUGAUGUUCUGAUUAUUAUGUGUCGGGAGGAAUUUCUUUUCUGGUCCAGUCUAUUUGGAGUUCUGUAGGCUUCUUGUAUGUUCAUGGGCAUCUCUUUCUUUAGAUUUGGGAAGUUUUCUUCAAUAAUUUUGUUGAAGAUGUUUGCUGGUCCUUUGAGUUGAAAAUCUUCAUUCUCAUCCACUCCUAUUAUCCGUAGGUUUGGUCUUCUCAUUGUGUCCUGGAUUUCCUGGAUGUUUUGAGUUAGGAUCUUUUUGCAUUUUCCAUUUUCUUUGAUUGUUGUGCCGAUGUUCUCUAUGGAAUCUUCUGCACCUGAGAUUCUCUCUUCCAUCUCUUGUAUUCUGUUGCUGAUGCUGGCAUCUAUGGUUCCAGAUUUCUUUCCUAGGGUUUCUAUCUCCAGCAUUGCCUCACUUUGGGUUUUCUUUAUUGUGUCUACUUCCCUUUUUAGGUCUAGUGUGGUUUUGUUCAUUUCUAUCACCUGUUUGGAUGUGUUUUCCUGUUUUUCUAUAAGGACUUCUACCUGUUUGGUUGUGUUUUCCCGUUUUUCUUUAAGGACUUGUAACUCUUUAGCAGUGUUCUCCUGUAUUUCUUUAAAUGAGUUAUUAAAUUCCUUCUUUAUGUCCUCUACCAUCAUCAUGAGAAAUGCUUUUAAAUCCAGGUCUACCUUUUCAGGUGUGUUAGGAUGCCCUGGACUGGGCGAAGUGGGAGUGCUGGGUUCUGAUGAUGGUGAGUGGUCUUGGUUCCUGUUAGUAGGAUUCUUACGUUUACCUUUCACCAUCUGGCAAUCUCUGGAGUUAGUUGUCAUAGUUGUCUUUGUUUAGAGAUUGUUCCUCUGUUGAUUUUGUUACCCUCUAUCAGCAGACGUGGGAGACUAGCUCUCUCCUCUGAGUUUCAGUGGUCAGAGCAGUCUCUGCAGGCAAGCUCUCCUCUUUCAGGGAAGGUGCACAGUUAUCUGGUGUUUGGACCUCCUCCUGGCUGAAGAUGAAGGCCCAAAACAGGAUCUUUCCCAGAAGUUGUGUUGCUUUGGCCAGGAAGGUGGCCGGUUGUCUGGAGCCGAAGAUGGCGCCGCCUCAUAAGCUCUGUGGCUCUCGCCUGUCCCAGAAACGGCUGGCCUCUGUAUUCCACACCGUCACCCAUGCAGCCUGCCCUCCGUGGAGUCCCGGAGCCAAGGAGGCUCCCGCCGGGGCCUGAGGCACAAACCUCUCGGGCUGGCGGACCCCUGUGCACUCACCAGGAAGGUGGCCGGUUGUCUGGAGCCGAAGAUGGCGCCGCCUCAGAAGCAGUGCUAUACUUUCAACGUUCCACAUCGUUCUUUCAACAGUUACUACAGAUACACUUCUCCAUCUUCUUCCUUCCUCUGCUGCCUCCUCAUUGUUCUGAAGUGUUUGAGUCAGGAGUAAUUGGUCAAUGUAUAAAGGACUUCAUUUUCUGAGUGUGCAUUUGUUUUGUUUUGUUAUUAUUUUGUUUUAUUGGUUUGGAUUUUGUGCAUUUUGUUUGCAAGAGAAAGAGAGGUGUGGGUAGGCAAGUAGGUAGUUAGGACCUUAGAAGAGUUGCAGGAAAGAAAAUCAAGAUGAUUAAAUGAUGUAUGAGUAAGAAGGUUUUAACCUAGCCUUGUUGUCUAUGAUCUAUAUUUUGUUAAUUUUUAUUUAUAGUGUGAAUAAAGCUCCACUCUAUGCUUUGCAUGUCAUCAAUAAACUAGUUUCCCCAUU